GCAAGGUUUGCAAUGUCUUUUCCUGCAACUGCCACCGCUGCAGCAGUCCCAUCUGUGCGGCCGCCUCCAGCUGGACACCCCCAGGGCCUCCGGGACAGAGAUUACGCCCCUAAACAACGCUGGAUCCUUGGGCCAGCUCCCUUUUCCAGGGGCCUUCAAAGCGUGGAAACGUACGCACCAAUGGAUCCACACGCACAGGAUGCCAUCGGCUUUCCCUCUCGCCAGCCCUGUCUUGGUCUCAUCUCUCCUUGUCUCUGAUUCUCUUUCUCUGUGGGCGUACCUGUCUUCCUACACCGGCCCACCUCUCUUUUUUCAACAGACUGCCUUCCUCCGUGCUACGUGGGGAGACGCUACCAAGCAGCAGGGCCGCUGGCUUAGCUGUGCAGGGUGCAGGCACGCAGAAGCCUUCCUCACCAGCUAGAGCACAGAAGUCCCUGGAAGGACUCAGAGCGUCCUGGUUUUCUGCGUGCUCAGUCCUCACGGCAGCACUUCGGCCAGGAGACGGGCGCUGGGGUUGGUCAGACCUGGGCCAGGUGCCCAUCCCCAUGGCUGGGGGGUCGUGGGGGUCAUUUGGAGACCAACAGCCCUAUGUUCACCAUGAAGAGUGAGACAGGUGCACCCCAAGCAGGAUAGGGUGCUGUGAGCAGUACAAGGGGGAUGGGGAAAGAUGCUGGACCUCUUCAAUUACAACAGUAAAAAAAUCAGGAUAAAGCCCUGUGAUCUUCAAAAGAAUCGGGACACAGUGCACGGGAGAAAGGCAGGCUGAGAGGCAGUGAACGGUACAUCAUAUAUUGUAAUACGAAAUGGAUAUUGACUGCAGCUGAGGUGCCUAUCCACAUGUAUUGACCUCAGAGAAAGGUCAGAGAAAGGUGAAUGCAGAGAUCGGAGGGAGCGAGGAAGGGUCUGUUUGCGACAGAAGGCGACCAUCACAACUUCUUUGCAAAAACGGACAGGAAAUUUCUGUGACUCGCACUCUCCCAUCACUGCCGUCGAUCAUUAGCAUCGUUACAGCUGAGUUUCGGUGAGUUGUGCCUCGGGGCCGGGUACUGCGGUAAGCGUCUUACAGAUCUUACCUCGAGUAACUCUCAUAACCCUAAGAGGUCAUAUAGUGGAUAACUUGGCCAUCUAUCCAAUAUUCAUUCUCCAUUUCUCCCUUGAUGGCCGAGCCCCAUUUUGGUCACUUAUCACCCCCUCCACCACAUGGACUAAAACUGGGCUAUGAAUCUUCAGGGGCCUAAGCUCCCAAUCAUGCUGGGUCCAGAUGCUUCCCUAGAGACUGGUUAUACACAGGCAUUUGAUACAAUUCUGGCCAAGGAGAUGUGAGCAUAAGUCUGUUGAGGGGCUUUGGGGAAAGGUCUCCUUGUUCCUGAGAGACACAAAAGAGAAGAGAAGGUGUCUUUCCUUCCAGCAUUACGCCCACUGGUUCCGGUGAUGGGAAUUGCUGUAGCCAUCCCGAAAAUGUGAGAGAGACUCUAACUGAGGAAGAGACUGAUGGACACCUCAGGGAAGUGGAGCCAGAUCAGGACGUGUCACCUCUGGGACCACCUACCUCUGGACUCCAGAUUAGGUGGGAUAACACACUUCCAUACUACUGAAGCCACUGCAAGUUGAGUUUCCUGUCAUAUGCAACCCCGGGCACCUCAACUGGUACAGGUAGGGGCCAUAUUAUCCCCCUUUUACGCAGGAGAGAUCUGGGCUUAGGGAUGUUAAGUGUUACAUGAGGCAACUAGUAUGGUCUAACUCCACAAUCUGAGUUCUUAACUGCUCCCCUGCAACCUUCCCAGGCAUGCUUCCCAUUUGAGGAUAACACCAUAAUCUAGUGGAAACUGGGCCCUGCAAAUGAAAUCAACCAGGACUGGCACUGAUCCCCUCUAUCUGACCUUAAAACUCCUUUCUGUAAGCACGGUAUAAGAGACACCCUCCCAAUACCUACUCCCUUCAGAAGCCCUGGGUUUCAAAACUGUUUUACUGAAUAAUAAGACAUUUCGCCCUGCCUUAACAUGUGAACUGCCGGAGAACUUGGUUAUGUUUCCUCAACACCCAGAGAGGCAGUUUAUCAAAAGGCUUCCGCUCAAGAAACAUCCCAUGUGCGUUCAAUUCUCCUCGUCCAACCUACUCUUUCUUCCUCGCUGAAACAAUCCUUUUCAUUCUCCAAUGUGCGGCAAAAGCGACAGAAUUAAAGGGCGUUUCCUCCACUCUCCUUGACCAUGACCGCCAUCUUGGAUCUGCCUUCCCCACCAAUAAACUACCAUGAUGAACCUCCUGUAAGAGUAUUCAACACACUGGAUUCCUUCAGUAAUCCUCCACUGAGUUCCUGCUAGCUUUUUGCUGUAUGUGUUUCUCUCCUUUAAGACAGGAACUGUAUUUCAUUUAUUUAUGUAAUCCUAGGACCCAUCACGGUACCUGACACAUGGGAGCAAGCACAGAAUUUGCUGAUAAUUAUAGAUCUCAGAAAAAAAGAAAGGGGAAAAAAAGCCAACAGACAGGUUACGACACAGUUAAACUACGGGAAGCCAAAAGAAAGUGAAGAAUCACACGCUCUAAGCUCCAUCUUGCCUUCGUUCUUUGCGGUGUCCAGGGGCACUAGCGAGAGGCACGGUAGGGGAGUCACUGAAGAGUCCAAUCCACCGAGGGCCCACAUUCAACAAAAAGACAAAGACCUUUGGACUCAGACCGAAUUAUACCACAGACUUUCCAUGGUUCUCCCACUUGUAGAUGGCAGACUGUGGGACGUCUUGGCCUCCAUAACUGUGUGAGCCAAUUCCUACAAAAGAGACAUCGCAGCGUGGCUACUAAAUAAUACUGAUGGGAGACAAAGUAGAGAAUGGUCAUUUCUUCCUGGAAGGCUAAGGCUCUCCCCCUCCUCCUCCUCCUCUUCCACCAUGACCACCACUACAAGGACACCUGCGUAUCUCCACAGGGACCAUUCUGGAUGUCUCUAUUCCCAGCACCCUGCUCAGUGUCUGGUACAUAGUAGGUGUUCAAUCAACUGAUGUUAGGUAAGCUGUUAAAGGUAUGAAGAGGUACCUAGGACACCUUAGCAGGAAUGAACGCGAGACAAGUGUUCAGGGGACGGAAUGACCUCACCUUCUCUGAGCCUCCGUGUCCUCAGAAAAAAUGAACUAAACCCAUCACGCAAGUGGCUUUUGUUAAGUUUCAAGAUUCUAGUAAUAUGAGCUUCACUCCUGUUCAUGACCUGCUUCAAGCAAGUUAUGAAGCCACUUCAGAGUCCAAGAAAGGGUGGAUUUUGCUGCUGAGCCAGAGCUUCCUGACAGCCAGGCUCAUCUGAGUACACAGUAGCCCCAUCCCCGUCCCCCCAGGAUAGCAACUAAGCGGUUCACCAGUGGCAGUCUCAGGAAAUCAGGCUGCUAAUUUAAGGCGAUGGCCUGAAUCUUCAUUAUUUGCACCCAAAAACCAUGAGUCAGGUCUCCUCCUGUUUGCCAAAUGCUACAACCCAUUCGCAUUUGGGGCUAUCGUCAUCUGGAGAGUAUUCCAAGGGCUUCAGCUGGAGCAAAAGAGCCCCCCAGGGAAAACUCUGCCCUGUACCUCACCAACACUGACCCUCCCUGCAGCCGCGCAAGGCCGGCCAGCAGCAAAGCAGCCAGGGCCACAGGGAAGCGCAGUCAGAGCCACACAGGGAACAGACAUAAGGCUGACUUUAAUUGCAGGGUCAUAGGAGGAUUUUAUCUAAUUGCCACAACUACAAAAGAAGAGGUUAAGUCCCUUGAAGACACUCACCAUUUCCAAGAGGGAGGCCCACUUGAUUUACGUAACCACCAGUAAACAUGCAGAAAAACAUGCACUUAAGAGACUUAAUGUUUCCUGACAGCAAUGAAUUGGCGUUCGCUGGGACACUGUGCACAUUUCCCAGGAAGAAGUCCUGUCGCGAGGAUCAUGAAACGGUUCCAGACUGCACCAGCUGACCGAUGAAAGCUUGGCUCCAGUUUCUCAAGGACAAGGCAAUGGCCAAGAUUGAGCGCCCCGCUGUCUGGGCCACUUCGCUCCCUCUAUUCCCCACACGGAUGACUCCAAACACCCGGUGGGUUCACCGCCAAAGAAAAUGACAGCUCUUCUGAUCAACAGCUCUGGUGACAGUAAUCAGGGGAGGGCAGUGAGCUAGUCUCGGGGUGCGAAGUGAUCGCCUGUUUUCAGGAUAAUCAAUAAGACACUUAUCUUGCAAGAUUCGUGCAAGUUUGGAAUCAAUUAUGAAUGGGAUGAUGGUAAAACUCCAGGAGAGACUUGCUGGAUUUUUAAAAAAUUCUCAUCAGAGUCAGGCUCCAUUUCGUGGGUUUCUCUGAAAUGUUAUAUACAUGUAAAAAUGAAUACUCACUCACUCUACUAUGCCAUGAUCAAAU